rnacentral:rRNA from 1 species
GGACCCGCACAAGCGGUGGAUUAUGUGGAUUAAUUCGAUGCAACGCGAAAAACCUUACCUACCCUUGACAUGUCCCGAAGCCCGGUGAGAGCUGGGUGUGCCCGAAAGGGAACGGGAACACAGGUGCUGCAUGGCUGUCGUCAGCUCGUGUCGUGAGAUGUUGGGUUAAGUCCCGCAACGAGCGCAACCCUUGUCAUUAGUUGCUACAUUCAGUUGGGCACUCUAAUGAGACUGCCGGUGACAAACCGGAGGAAGGUGGGGAUGACGUCAAGUCCUCAUGGCCCUUAUGGGUAGGGCUUCACACGUAAUACAAUGGCGCGUACAGAGGGUUGCCAAGGAGCGAUCUGGAGCCAAUCCCGCAAAGCGCGUCGUAGUCCGGAUAGGAGUCUGCAACUCGACUCCUUGAAGUCGGAAUCGCUAGUAAUCGCGGAUCAGCAUGUCGCGGUGAAUACGUUCCCGGGUCUU